AUGCAGGUGAGGAAUCACGGAAUCCUACCCCAGAAGCAAAGGAACGAACACUGCUUGCAACGAAUUGGAAUUGAAGUCAAUGAAGAAAAGAAGACCAUGUUCUGCUUCAUGAAGAGUGAGGAGCAUCGAAGUACAUAGGAACAUCUUUAACUUGGAUAUGAACCUAGGAGUGAACAUCCUGCCCUUUGUGAAAACUUGAAUGGACUUUGAGGGCCUUAGUCUAUGUGAGACUUCAAUACAAAGCUGUAGCAAUCAAACCAGAAUGGUACUGGCAUAAAUACAGACGCACUGAACAACAGAACAGAAUCUAGAGCCCAGAGAUGAGCCCUUGCAUAUGUGGUGAACUCCUAUUUCACAAGGAAAUCAAGAAGAUUCAAGAGAGGAAAGAUAGAGUCUCUUCAGUAUGUGGUGUUGGGGAAACCGGACGACAACAUGCAGAAGAAUGAAGCUGGACUCCUAUCUUACUCCACUGCCCCAAAUUAACUUGGAAUGGCUUAAACUCUAAGAUCCCAAACUGUGAAACUACUAUAAGAAAACACAGGGACUAUGUUCCUCCAUCUGGGUCUUGGCAAUGAU